GGCGGCCGCGCCCCUUCUUCCUCCGCCACGGUUCCUCUCCAGCUGAGCUCCUCUUUGAUCUGCGCUACGGCCCUGAGCCCCCUCCGACGUAGUUCUCCAGCUCGAUCCUUGAUCUCUCGCUACUGCCCCGGGCUGACGUCGCUGCCGUGAUACUGCAGCGAUCACUUCGAUGUUCGAUAUCAUGUUGUCGGCCGGGAGCCCAGCAUCAACAAGCCUCCCUUCCAAAUUCCUCCAGUGGUCUCCGAUGGUCGAGAUGGGCGUGACCUGGUGGUGUCCCCGUGGCAGCUCCUAGCUUCCCUGCAUACCGGCGGCUCUACCAGUGUCGAGUCUCAUGCCUCCACUUGAACUGCUACGCCACGCACGUCUGAACUUAUUCACAUCUGGGCCUGAACUUGGCGCUGGUAAAUGUCCGGGUGUGCCUCUCGAGAGCAGAGGUUCCACAAGCUCCAUGGCAGGCUAGCGCUGGCCUGCCGUGAAGGAGAGGCAGCUCCUUGCUCCUGUUGUCCGAUCUGCAUCUUCUCUCUGUUUUUCUCUCCACACAGUAGUACAUAUUUGGUAUGUGCUGAACCUGAUGCUCUUCUCCAUGCUGUGAAACCCUUGCCAUGGUGCCGAGCUGGUUGAGUUUGGUAUAUUUCGCUGAAUCAAAACCCUGAGAAGAUUAGAAGCUAGACUAGAUAAAGCUAAAUUUGACCGGUGGCCUCCAUAGUGAUGCAGGGAUAUUAUUUCCGGGCUCCCAUAGACUGGUCGAGUUUGGAGAAAAUGAUCAAGAUGAAAAGGCUAGCUUUCCUAGUGCUACCGUAUACUUGCUUGUAUUUUGCUAAAACCAUCUGGUGCGUGAGCUGAUGCACGCACUAGGGCUGAAAUAAAAGCAAAUGACUAGAUGGCCAAGUUUCGGUUCGCAUGAAAAAGAUAAUUCUGAGUUUCCAUUGUUUUUCUUGAGACUCCAGGUAAAUAAGCUUAGCUAGGACCGAUUUUUUCUGAAAUUUUCACACCAUUGACAGGCAGCAGCAGCCUGGAGUGAGUCAUAAUGGUCUGCGCGAGUUCGUGAACGUAUUAGUACAAGCAGCCUGCAGCAGGAGUUAUGAUGCAAUUUGCAGUUCAAGUUGUGAUUCACUUUCUUCAGCGAACGCGAUCUCCGCCACUAUCACCAGAGCUUGACAUGCCAUCGCCGACUGGGACU